rnacentral:rRNA from 1 species
AAUUCGAUUAGUUUGAUCAUGGCUCAGGACGAACGCUGGCGGCGUGCUUAACACAUGCAUGUCGAACGGUGACCUUCGGAGCUUGCUUCGGGGUGAUCAGUGGCGAACGGGUGAGUAACACGUGAGUAACCUGCCCCAGACUCUGGGAUAACUUCGGGAAACCGUAGCUAAUACCGGAUAUGACACGGAGAGGCAUCUCUAUCGUGUGGAAAGUUUUUCGGUCUGGGAUGGACUCGCGGCCUAUCAGCUUGUUGGUGAGGUAAUGGCUCACCAAGGCGACGACGGGUAGCCGGCCUGAGAGGGCGAUCGGCCACACUGGGACUGAGACACGGCCCAGACUCCUACGGGAGGCAGCAGUGGGGAAUAUUGCACAAUGGGCGCAAGCCUGAUGCAGCGACGCCGCGUGAGGGAUGACGGCCUUUGGGUUGUAAACCUCUUUCAGCAGGGAAGAAGCGAAAGUGACGGUACCUGCAGAAGAAGCACCGGCUAACUACGUGCCAGCAGCCGCGGUAAUACGUAGGGUGCGAGCGUUGUCCGGGAAUUAUUGGGCGUAAAGAGCUUGUAGGCGGUUUGUCGCGUCUGCUGUGAAAAUCCGGGGCUCAACCCCGGACUUGCAGUGGGUACGGGCAGACUAGAGUGUGGUANGGGAGACUGGAAUUCCUGGUGUAGCGGUGAAAUGCGCAGAUAUCAGGAGGAACACCGAUGGCGAAGGCAGGUCUCUGGGCCAUUACUGACGCUGAGAA